ACUCUCUUGUUUCUCUUCAGAUCAUAGAAAUCUUUCCCCUCUUACUAAAGGUUUCUGUGGUGAGGAGUGGCUCUUGUCUGAAUCCCAUUUUUUUUCAGCCCUUUGUGAUAGCAGGGCU
rnacentral:snRNA from 1 species